UACGAAGGGGGCUAGCGUUGCUCGGAAUUACUGGGCGUAAAGGGCUCGUAGGCGGCCAACUAAGUCAUACGUGAAAUCCCUCAGCUUAACUGGGGAACUGCGUGUGAUACUGGAUGGCUUGGAUUUGGGAGAGGGAUGCGGAAUUCCAGGUGUAGCGGUGAAAUGCGUAGAUAUCUGGAGGAACACCGGUGGCGAAGGCGGCAUCCUGGACCAACACUGACGCUGAGGAGCGAAAGCCAGGGGAGCAAACGGG
rnacentral:rRNA from 1 species